rnacentral:rRNA from 1 species
GACGAACGCUGGCGGCGUGCUUAACACAUGCAAGUCGAACGGAAAGGCCCUGCUUGCAGGGUGCUCGAGUGGCGAACGGGUGAGUAACACGUGGGUGAUCUGCCCCUUAUUUUGGGAUAAGCCUGGGAAACUGGGUCUAAUACUGGAUAGGACCAUGCUGUAGGUGGUGUGGUGGAAAGAUUAGUUUCGGUAAGGGAUGAGCUCGCGGCCUAUCAGCUUGUUGGUGGGGUAAUGGCCUACCAAGGCGUCGACGGGUAGCCGGCCUGAGAGGGUGGACGGCCACAUUGGGACUGCGAUACGGCCCAGACUCCUACGGGCGGCAGCAGUGGGGAAUAUUGCACAAUGGGCGCAAGCCUGAUGCAGCGACGCCGCGUGGGGGAUGACGGCCUUCGGGUUGUAAACUCCUUUCAGCCAUGACGAAGCCCUUGUGGUGACGGUAGUGGUAGAAGAAGCACCGGCUAACUACGUG